GGGCCGUUAGCUCAGUUGGUAGAGCAGCUGACUCUUAAUCAGCGUGUCGCAGGUUCGAACCCCGCACGGCUCACCA
rnacentral:tRNA from 1 species